GGCAAAGUGGAACCUACUAGUCAGCUUAAUCUCCUCUCCUUUCACCUAUUUCUUUGCUGAUCCAAGCUUCUGCGACUGAAAAAAUAGCCUCAUUAUUGCAUUCUUUUCAGGGCAUCCUUCUAAAUGAGGCCCAUAGAAUCAUCAUCGUUUUUGAGGGGGAAGAGCUGAGGUAGAGCUGCACUGUAAUAUCUCUGAUAUAUAAAGAUGCUGGAAGCCAAAUUUCCCCACUAAACAACCUUACAUGAUUCAGUAACAAUCUGCUGCAGGAAUCACUGACAUGGAUGACUGUUCUUUGACUUUUAACCUCCAGGUAACAGAGAUUAAGUGCUACUUGAAUGGAGUCAAUAAACUCUAACAUGGAGAUUUUAAUAACGACGCUAUAUUACAUCACAAAGAGAAUGAAGUUUACAAUAGAAAGCUACUGCUUCUUUUCUCCCUAUUUUACACACUGCAUUUGCUUCUGAAAGAACUUAAUUUAUUCAAGUGCAAUUUUCACAGUAUUCAUAUUUGUGUGUUUUGUGUUCACAUAUACAAUGAAAGAUCAAUAAAUACUCAUGAAGCAAAAUGGUAACUACCAAACCCAUUUAAAUUUCUCUCUUCUAAGUAGAAGCCAAAAAUUUUACUAAGACUAGAUGGCAAUUAAUGUUCACAUUUUCUGUGAGGAAAAUAUAAAAACCAUAGCUGAUAAAUAAGUCAUUUAAGUAUGUUGUUCGCAGUGGCGCUCUGGAAGGAUUCACUAUACAGGGGGGAGUGAAUUUACCUUUUCAGACUGAUUAGUCCUUUCCUUUCAGAUGAAAAAUAUAGACAAAUACUUUUCCUCAUAUUUUGUGGGCUGAAAUCAGCACAGUUCACUCUGAAUUGAUACAGUUUCCUUAUAUUAUACAGGCCAGGACAGCCUUCAGGAACCACUCCCUAGUCAUUCCUCCUUCUGAAAAGAUGCCUGCC
ensembl:lncRNA